AAAUGAAUUGACGGGGGCCCGCACAAGCGGUGGAGUAUGUGGUUUAAUUCGAUGAUACGCGAUAAACCUUACCUGGUCUUGACAUGUAGAGAACCCUUAAGAGAUUAGGGGGUGCCUGCUUGCAGGAGCUCUAACACAGGUGGUGCAUGGUUGUCGUCAGCUCGUGUCGUGAGAUGUUUGGUUAAGUCCAGCAACGAGCGCAACCCUUGUUACUAGUUGCCAGCACGUAAUGGUGGGGACUCUAGUGAGACUGCCGGUGACAAACCGGAGGAAGGUGGGGACGACGUCAAAUCAUCACGCCCCUUACGACCAGGGCUACACACGUACUACAAUGCCCGGUACAGCGAGUUGCUAAGCUGCGAAGCCAAGCUAAUCUCUUAAAACCGGGCCAAGUUCGGAUCGGAGGCUGCAAUUCGCCUCCGUGAAGUCGGAAUCGCUAGUAAACGCAGAUCAUCAUGCUGCGUUGAAUACGUUCCCGGGCCUUGUACACACCGCCCGU
rnacentral:rRNA from 1 species